AAAAAAGCAAAAUUUUUCAAUACAUGAAAGAACCCAACCUUUAAACUUAUCUAUCUAUGGUACUGGGGUUGAACCCAGAGCCUUUUCAGUGAGCUACAUCCCCAGUUCUUCUUUAAAUUUUUUAUUUUGAGACAGGGUCUUGCUAAGUUACUAAAUCACCUAGGCUGGGCUGGAACUUGAGAUCCUCCUGCUUCAGCCUCCCAGUGCUGGGAUGACAAGUGAGUGCCACUGUGCCCAGUUCGAUCAUGCAUAUUUUUCUAUAAAUGCUGUUGGGAUCUAUUUUUUUCUAUUUAUAAUAUGUUGGGUAUAUUUCAAAUGAUCAAAGUAUUCUAUGUUUAAAUGCCAAUAAUGCCAGGUGUGGUGGGGCAAACCUGUAAUCCCAGCACUCAGGAGGCUCAGGCAGGAUGAUCGCUUCGAGUUCUAGGUCAGUUUGGACUAUACAGCAAAACUCUCUCUCCAAAAAAAGCACCAAUAAUUAUAAUAUGAAGAAAACGUCCUCCAGCCUAAAUAAUCAGUUUAAUUAUGAAAUAUUAGUCGUAAACUUUAAAGUGUGCUGGAGUGACCCUUCCCCAUAACCCAUAGAUCUUAGGUUAAAGAGCGGAGUCUGACUAGACGUCCUCCCUGGGGUCUGCGCAGGGCAGUGCCCACCGGGCUCCAGGCCUCGCCUGUCAGAGUUGCGCCUGCGCCGGCUGAAGGCUUUCCCGCGACCAGACCCGCUCCUGGGUGUUCCCGCCAGUCACCUGGAGGCCCUCGCGUGGCUCCCGGUCCGCCGGUCUGCGUGGGGCCCCGCGGCCCCGCGGGUCCCUGGCACCAGGCGAUCACAGCAGCUGACGUCACGGUAUUACUGAAUUCACUUCCGGUUCCCGGCCACGAAUUCUGGGGCGAAUUCUCCUCUACCGCACGCUGGCUAUCGUGGCUGGAGACCCUUUCAACCUCUUCUCUCCACACUGCGAGCCCGAUGAGAAAAACAUGAAGCCAGUGGUGGAGAACAUGGGAAUACUUGAAUGCUUUGUGCAUCCGAAUUCCACGGAGAAACUCAGAAAGAAAAUGGAAGUCUAACAGACAUAUGUACAAAGAAGUUAAGAGAACAUUACUAAUCAGAAUACUUUUUGUCAGGUAAAAGGGCCGAAGACCAAGACGAGACCAAGCCACAACAAGCCUUUAUUAGGGGGAAUAGAUCUGCCGAGCUGUUUCUGAACAGAGACAAAAGCAAUAUGGCCGGGGCAGGGAGAGUCUUUUACGGAGACUGGGGUGGGGUUUGUAGGGGCUGAGGCGGGGUUGAGUGAGAUAGUGACUAGGGAAUGGAGCCCAUGAGGUCACUAGGUGGUAGAAGGUGAGCGAGUAUUAGGUUACUGUCUAGGCGGGAACAGGGGCAUGCUGGGAUGAAGGGUUUAUUCUUCGGUGGGAGCAACCAUCUUGGCAUGACGUCACACAGGGGAGGGGGCAAGGCACGAUAGGAAGGGGGCAGCUACUAUACAUAAUAGCUCCUGGGGUAGUGGGAGACCUAUCACUUUUUAAUGGGUGUCUAUAGUUUGAUAAGAAAAUGUAAACUCCCCUAAGCAAUGGGAAUUUCCAGUACAAAAAAGCAAAAGGAAACACGUUAAUACAAAUGUGCUCGAGAUGGAACUGUUUUAUUCUUUUACUUUGCGAUUGAAAAUAACCUUGUUUGGAAGUCCCUGAAGCCUUUUACACCUUAUUUUGCCUCCUUACCCCUUACAAGCCUUUUAGCUAACUUUAAAUUCCAGAAACAGGGCAUUGGUUGAUAUUGAUGGGGGGGGGAGAUGAAUAUUACAGGAUUUUUUCCAAGAAAGGAAAAUAGAAAAACUAUACUUUACCUGUUUUUUCUUUCUGAAAAGGAAAUAUAACAAAGAUAAACCAGAAAAUAUUGAAGCUGGUUACCUAAAAAGAUGGUAGCAGUUUUGAAAAAAGAGGGCUGUGGGAAGCACAUUUCUUUGAGUAUACUUUUUGCUAUGUCUUUAGCUUUUUGGUUUGUUUUGUUUUUGAGACAGGCAGGCCUUCAACUCACUAUGUAGCACAGGCUGCCCUCCAACUCACGUGUGAUCCUCCUGCCUCAGCCGCAGAAGUGCUCAACCUCAACCUUACAAGCUUGUGCCACCACACCUGGCUUUGUCUUUAACUUUUGAAGCCAUGUGAAUGUUCUACAUUUUCAAAAGUUAGUAUUCAAUUGACAAAAAACUACUGAAAGCAACCACGGCAAAGGAACUCAGUUCUACUCCACACCUUCAACACAUGAAGAGGAAGCACACGAUCCGUGCUCAGAGUAUAGCACAGUUUGCCUCAUGCUGGGUCGAGGGGUGUGGGUGGGGCUGGAGAACUGUAAACAAAUGCCGACUUCUUUUUAGUGGAUGUUUUUCGGUAAUAGAUGGGCAAAGCAAUCCUGAAACUAUGGCAGGGGCAAUCUAGGGCUGCCAGAGACCCCUGUAGUCAGGUUCCAGUCCCCACCUGCCCAGUGUGUGAUGCAGGCCUGAGAAAAAGAAUACACUGAGACAGAACUAGGAGAGAGAGCGGGCGCCAGGACGACCGGGUGCCGUGCGACCGACAAAGGCCCUGGCCCGUCCCAGGCACUGACUUUUACUGGUAAUCAAAUGGGGUAAAGGUGGCUGUGGUUUCUAUGGGAA
rnacentral:lncRNA from 1 species